rnacentral:rRNA from 1 species
UACGUAGGGUGCGAGCGUUAAUCGGAAUUACUGGGCGUAAAGCGUGCGCAGGCGGCUUCGCAAGUCAGACGUGAAAUCCCCGGGCUUAACCUGGGAAUGGCGUUUGAAACUAGGGAGCUGGAGUGUGGCAGAGGGAGGUAGAAUUCCACGUGUAGCGGUGAAAUGCGUAGAUAUGUGGAGGAAUACCGAUGGCGAAGGCAGCCUCCUGGGCCAACACUGACGCUGAGGCGCGAAAGCGUGGGGAGCAAACAGG